GAGUUUGAUCCUGGCUCAGGAACGAACGCUGGCGGCGCGCUUAACACAUGCAAGUCGAGCGAGAACCAGUCCUUCGGGACUGGGGACAGCGGCGAACGGGUGAGUAACACGUGGGUAAUCUGCCCUCGAUUCUGGGAUAGCCCGGGGAAACCCGGAUUAAUACCGGAUAGCCUCUCGAGCUUUCGAGCUCAUGAGAAAAGGUAGCUUCGGCCUCCGAUCGAGGAUGAGCCCGCGGCGGAUUAGCUUGUUGGUGGGGUAAUGGCCUACCAAGGCGACGAUCCGUAGCUGGUCUGAGAGGACGAUCAGCCACACUGGGACUGAGACACGGCCCAGACUCCUACGGGAGGCAGCAGUGGGGAAUCUUGCGCAAUGGGCGAAAGCCUGACGCAGCGACGCCGCGUGGGGGAAGAAGGCCUUCGGGUUGUGAACCUCUUUCAGCAGGGACGAAGCCACUCGGGUUAAUAGCCCAGAGGGUGACGGUACCUGCAGAAGAAGCCCCGGCUAACUACGUGCCAGCAGCCGCGGUAAUACGUAGGGGGCAAGCGUUGUCCGGAUUUAUUGGGCGUAAAGAGCGUGUAGGCGGCCGCACAGGUCCGUUGUGAAAACUGGAGGCUUAACCUUCAGACGUCGAUGGAAACCGUGCGGCUAGAGUCCGGAAGAGGAGAAUGGAAUUCCUGGUGUAGCGGUGAAAUGCGCAGAUAUCAGGAAGAACACCCGUGGCUAAGGCGGUUCUCUAGUACGGUACUGACGCUGAGACGCGAAAGCGUGGGGAGCGAACAGGAUUAGAUACCCUGGUAGUCCACGCCGUAAACGAUGGGUGCUAGGUGUGGGGGGUGUCGACUCCCUCCGUGCCGAAGCUAACGCAUUAAGCACCCCGCCUGGGGAGUACGGCCGCAAGGCUAAAACUCAAAGGAAUUGACGGGGGGCCCGCACAAGCAGCGGA
rnacentral:rRNA from 1 species